AUCCCAUUGGUUCCCCCUGUACUUACCUGUGUGCAGAGGGCAGGCAGCAGUGGCACAAACCAAGAAUGGUGCACAACCAGGCCCAGGAGAGAAAAUUACUGUGAUGUCCACAAAACCAAAUCAGAGAAGAUAAGGAGCACACCAUACAAAGACAACAGUGGAGAGUUGCUGGAUCUGUCUGUCCUCAAAGUGCCAGAGAUCUACAAGGACUUUUUCCUGUUUCUCCACCAUCACCUGCAUAAU